CCUACGGGUCGCAGCAGUGGGGAAUAUUGCACAAUGGGCGCAAGCCUGAUGCAGCCAUGCCGCGUGUGUGAAGAAGGCCUUCGGGUUGUAAAGCACUUUCAGCGGGGAGGAAGGCGGUGAGGUUAAUAACCUCAUCGAUUGACGUUACCCGCAGAAGAAGCACCAGCUAACUCCGUGCCAGCAGCCGCGGUAAUACGGAGGGUGCAAGCGUUAAUCGGAAUUACUGGGCGUAAAGCGCACGCAGGCGGUCUGUCAAGUCGGAUGUGAAAUCCCCGGGCUCAACCUGGGAACUGCAUUCGAAACUGGCAGGCUAGAGUCUUGUAGAGGGGGGUAGAAUUCCAGGUGUAGCGGUGAAAUGCGUAGAGAUCUGGAGGAAUACCGGUGGCGGAGGCGGCCCCCUGGACAAUGACUGACGCUCAGGUGCGAAAGCGUGGGGAGCAGACAGGAUUAGAUACCCUGGUAGUC
rnacentral:rRNA from 1 species